rnacentral:lncRNA from 1 species
UUGGUUGAAAAAAUUUGAAAUUGGAUUUAGAAAAGAUUAUGAGGGGAACGGCCGAAGUUUUGUUUCCACGUAUUGUUUUUUUUAUUAUUUAUUUUCUUUUUUAUCUUUAUAUUUUAUUCUAAUUUGUAUAGUAUUAUUAUUUAGGUUUUUCUUUUACUUAUUUUCUCUUUUAGCUAAUUUUAAAUAUUUCUAUUGGCAUGUAUUUU